rnacentral:rRNA from 1 species
GAUGAACGCUGGCGGCGUGCUUAACACAUGCAAGUCGAACGAAGCACUUUAUUUGAUUUCCUUCGGGACUGAUUAUUUUGUGACUGAGUGGCGGACGGGUGAGUAACGCGUGGGUAACCUGCCUUGUACAGGGGGUUAACAGUUGGAAACGGCUGCUAUUACCCCUUAAGCCACCAGCUUCGCUUAUUGCAGUUUGAAAAACUCCGGUGGUAUAAGAUGGACCCGCGUUGGAUUAGCUAGUUGGUGAGGUAACGGCCCACCAAGGCGACGAUCCAUAGCCGACCUGAGAGGGUGACCGGCCACAUUGGGACUGAGACACGGCCCAAACUCCUACGGGAGGCAGCAGUGGGGAAUAUUGCACAAUGGGCGAAAGCCUGAUGCAGCGACGCCGCGUGAGCGAAGAAGUAUUUCGGUAUGUAAAGCUCUAUCAGCAGGGAAGAUAAUGACGGUACCUGACUAAGAAGCACCGGCUAAAUACGUG